CGGAGGUGGCAAGCGUUACUCGGAAUUAUUGGGUGUAAAGGGCAAGUAGGCGGCCUGUUAAGUGGGUGGUGAAAUACUCCGGCUCAAUCGGAGAACAGCCUUCCAAACUAUCAGGCUUGAGUAUAUUAGGGGGAAAUGGAAUUCUAGGUGUAAGGGUGAAAUCUGUAGAUAUCUAGAAGAACACCAGCGGCGAAGGCGAUUUCCUGGAAUAUUACUGACGCUAAAUUGCGAAAGCUAGGGGAGCAAACAGAAUUAGAUACUCUGGUAGUCCUAGCCGUAAACGAUGAGCACUAGAUGUCGGCUCCUUUAGGAGUCGGUGUCGCAGCUAACGCAUUAAGUGCUCCACCUGGGGACUACGGUCGCAAGGCUA
rnacentral:rRNA from 1 species